rnacentral:rRNA from 2 species
CGACGCUGGCGGCAUGCUAAUACAUGCAAGUCGAACGAGCUUCCGUAGUGAGAUGUGCUUGCAUCGAGAUUUACAUUGGAGUGAGUGGCGAACUGGUGAGUAACACGUGGGAAAUCUGCCCAGAAGCAGGGGAUAACACUUGGAAACAGAUGCUAAUACCGUAUAACAACUUAGAGUCCGCAUGGUCUCUUGCUUGAAAGAUGGCUUCGGCUAUCACUUCUGGAUGAUCCCGCGGCGUAUUAGUUAGAUGGUGAGGUAAAGGCUCACCAUGACGAUGAUACGUAGCCGACCUGAGAGGGUAAUCGGCCACAUUGGGACUGAGACACGGCCCAAACUCCUACGGGAGGCAGCAGUAGGGAAUCUUCCACAAUGGACGAAAGUCUGAUGGAGCAAUGCCGCGUGAGUGAAGAAGGGUUUCGGCUCGUAAAACUCUGUUGUUAAAGAAGAACACAUUUGAGAGUAACUGUUCAAGUAUUGACGGUAUUUAACCAGAAAGCCACGGCUAACUACGUGCCAGCAGCCGCGGUAAUACGUAGGUGGCAAGCGUUGUCCGGAUUUAUUGGGCGUAAAGCGAGCGCAGGCGGUUUUUUAAGUCUGAUGUGAAAGCCUUCGGCUCAACCGGAGAAGUGCAUCGGAAACUGGGAAACUUGAGUGCAGAAGAGGACAGUGGAACUCCAUGUGUAGCGGUGGAAUGCGUAGAUAUAUGGAAGAACACCAGUGGCGAAGGCGGCUGUCUGGUCUGUAACUGACGCUGAGGCUCGAAAGUAUGGGUAGCAAACAGGAUUAGAUACCCUGGUAGUCCAUGCCGUAAACGAUGAAUGCUAAGUGUUGGAGGGUUUCCGCCCUUCAGUGCUGCAGCUAACGCAUUAAGCAUCUCCGCCUGGGGAGUACGACCGCAAGGUUGAAACUCAAAGGAAUUGACGGGGGCCCGCACAAGCGGUGGAGCAUGUGGUUUAAUUCGAAGCUACGCGAAGAACCUUACCAGGUCUUGACAUCUUCUGCAAAUCUUAGAGAUUAGACGUUCCCUUCGGGGACAUGGUGACAGGUGGUGCAUGGUUGUCGUCAGCUCGUGUCGUGAGAUGUUGGGUUAAGUCCCGCAACGAGCGCAACCCUUAUUAUCAGUUGCCAGCAUUCAGUUGGGCACUCUGGUGAGACUGCCGGUGACAAACCGGAGGAAGGUGGGGAUGACGUCAAAUCAUCAUGCCCCUUAUGACCUGGGCUACACACGUGCUACAAUGGAUGGUACAACGAGUUGCGAACUCGUGAGACUAAGCUAAUCUCUUAAAGCCGUUCUCAGUUCGGAUUGUAGGCUGCAACUCGCCUACAUGAAGUUGGAAUCGCUAGUAAUCGCGGAUCAGCAUGCCGCGGUGAAUACGUUCCCGGGCCUUGUACACACCGCCCGUCACACCAUGAGAGUUUGUAACACCCAAAGUCGGUGAGAUAACCU